AGUUUCUAGAGCUAUUUAUUCCUUUCCAGAAUCAAUUUAAUCUCCAGAGAAUCAUCUCCUUUUCUUCCCUUACAGGGAAGAACUGUUUCAUAGUAAGAAUGGGGCCCGUAAAAGUGCCAAGAAGGUCCUCAUUGUCAUCACAGAUGGGCAGAAAUACAGAGACCCCCUGGAGUACAGCGACGUCAUCCCCCAGGCAGAGAGAGCUGGCAUCAUCCGCUAUGCCAUUGGGGUAUGUCCUCUUCCUCAUGUCUCCCUCGGACUCAGGCUGCACCUCACCAGGGAAGAAAGGCUGGCGGGCUCCUCCUCAGCGGCCUCUCUGCCACAGGUGGGAGAUGCUUUCUGGAACCCCACUGCCAAGCAGGAGCUGGACAACAUUGGCUCAGAGCCGGCUCAGGACCAUGUGUUCAGGGUGGACAACUUUGCAGCACUUAGCAGCAUCCAGGAGCAGCUGCAGGAGAAGAUCUUUGCACUCGAAGGAACCCAGUCAACGACAAGUAGCUCUUUCCAACAUGAGAUGUCACAAGAAGGCUUCAGUUCAGUACUCACAAUGGAUGGACCAGUUCUGGGGGCUGUGGGGAGCUUCAGCUGGUCUGGAGGUGCCUUCCUGUACCCUCCAAAGACGAGCCCCACUUUCAUCAACAUAUCUCAAGAGAAUGUGGACAUGAGGGACUCUUACCUGGGUUACUCCGCUGAGCUGGCCUUUUGGAAGGGAGUACAGAGCCUGAUCCUGGGGGCCCCCCGCCAUCAGCACACCGGGAAGGUUGUCAUCUUCACUCAGGCAUCUGAGCAAUGGAGG
rnacentral:lncRNA from 1 species